GUCAACUACCCACCGCCUAUAGAGGCGGGGGCUUGUAGGAGCCUGGUUGAUUAGCCCCCUUGCAAAGCAAGGAGCCGUUCAAAGGGAAUGACAUAGGCACUCCGGGAUACUCCACACGUUCCGGACACUGCG
rnacentral:sRNA from 21 species